rnacentral:rRNA from 1 species
CCUACGGGUGGCAGCAAGUGGGAAUAUUGCACAAUGGGCGAAAGCCUGAUGCAGCGACGCCGCGUGAGGGAUGAAGGUCUUCGGAUCGUAAACCUCUUUUAUCAACUAGGAAGAUAUGACCAGUUGAUGAAUAAGCACCUGCUAACUACGUGCCAGCAGCCGCGGUAAUACGUAGGGUGCAAGCGUUAUCCGGAAUUAUUGGGCGUAAAGAGAUGCGUAGGUGGUUUAUCAAGUUUUUGGUGAAAGCCUUCGGCUUAACCGAAGAAUUGCCAAGAAAACUGGUAAACUUAGAGGGAAUCAGGGGGUGCUGGAACUCGUGGUGUAGUAGUAAAAUGCGUUGAUAUCACGAGGAACACCAAAGGCGAAGGCAGGCACCUGGGAUUCACCUGACACUGAGGCUCGAAAGCGUGGGGAGCGAAACGGAUUAGAUACCCUAGUAG